rnacentral:rRNA from 1 species
GACGAACGCUGGCGGCGUGCCUAAUACAUGCAAGUAGAACGCUGAAGGAGGAGCUUGCUUCUCUGGAUGAGUUGCGAACGGGUGAGUAACGCGUAGGUAACCUGCCUGGUAGCGGGGGAUAACUAUUGGAAACGAUAGCUAAUACCGCAUAAUAGUAGAUGUUGCAUGACAUUUGCUUAAAAGGUGCAAUUGCAUCACUACCAGAUGGACCUGCGUUGUAUUAGCUAGUUGGUGGGGUAACGGCUCACCAAGGCGACGAUACAUAGCCGACCUGAGAGGGUGAUCGGCCACACUGGGAAUGAGAAACGGCCCAGAAGCCUACGGGAGGCAGCAGGAGGGAAACUUCGGCAAUGGACGGAAGUCUGACCGAGCAACGCCGCGUGAGUGAAGAAGGGUUUCGGAUCGUAAAGCUCUGUUGUAAGAGAAGAACGAGUGUGAGAGUGGAAAGUUCACACUGUGACGGUAUCUUACCAGAAAGGGACGGCUAACUACGUG